UUCAAUGCCAAUGCCUCCGAGAUGACUUGCCAAAAACAAUCACUACUUUUUUUUUUCAUACUAAUCGACUUUACCUUCCUACAAGAACACAAAUAGAUUGUUAUAUUAAUUAAUUAUGUGUAUUAUUUCUCUUUCAAUGAAUUGAGACUUUGGAUUUUGAUGGGUGAGUGGAGAAGAGGGGACGACAACAGUUCAAUUAUUCAUCUCAGAUCGGUG
rnacentral:lncRNA from 1 species